UCAUUAAGAGCAUCUAAUCUUCCCCACUGUAAAGCCAGAUCAAUAGCACUACUGGCCUCACCUCUGUUUCUGCUGCUGCCCCCAGUUCCUGGCAGCAGCCUUCAGGGAGGCCUAUAGGUAGGA
ensembl:snoRNA